rnacentral:rRNA from 1 species
GAUGAACGCUGGCGGCGUGCCUAAUACAUGCAAGUCGAGCGAACAGACGAGGAGCUUGCUCCUCUGACGUUAGCGGCGGACGGGUGAGUAACACGUGGAUAACCUACCUAUAAGACUGGGAUAACUUCGGGAAACCGGAGCUAAUACCGGAUAACAUGUUGAACCGCAUGGUUCAACAGUGAAAGACGGUCUUGCUGUCACUUAUAGAUGGAUCCGCGCCGCAUUAGCUAGUUGGUAAGGUAACGGCUUACCAAGGCAACGAUGCGUAGCCGACCUGAGAGGGUGAUCGGCCACCCUGGAACUGAGACACGGUCCAGACUCCUACGGGAGGCAGCAGUAGGGAAUCUUCCGCAAUGGGCGAAAGCCUGACGGAGCAACGCCGCGUGAGUGAUGAAGGUCUUCGGAUCGUAAAACUCUGUUAUUAGGGAAGAACAAAUGUGUAAGUAACUAUGCACGUCUUGACGGUACCUAAUCAGAAAGCCACGGCUAACUACGUG